AUAAAUAAAAUCUUAAAAAAAAAAGUUUUUGGUUCCCUGAUAAAAUUUCCAAGGCUGUCUAUUCCUUGACCCUAGUGAACAUAAUUGUUUUGUAAUCCGAGUUUGCUAAAUCCAAUUAUCUGAAGGUUUUUGUAGUUUGUUUCUGUUGUUGUUGUUUCUGCUGGUUUUCACUUGUGGAGUCUUGUUUUCUUGUGUGUUUGGUUAUCUUUAUAUGUUGAACCAUGUAUUUGAAAAGAGAUAUACAGGAAUAAUAUAAGUCUAAGUAGUAUAUAAUGCUAUCUUCUUUCAGAGAUUUUAUUUUUCUCUGAUAGGUAACCGAAGACCUUACUAGUCAAGGACCACCGUAAUACAGGUUCAAGGCCUCAAUUCCUCUUGACCACCAAAAUGACAAAAAUCUGAGCUGAAAACUUGGCAAGGACUUUUUACUUACAGCUCUUCCUUGAGGGUGAACUUCAGGGUUCUAGAUUCAAGUAGAUGUGGAUUUCUUAGAGUGCCUACCUUGGUGGGUCCUAGACUUUGCGUUUUGCAUCCCUAACCCUACAAACCCACCAAAAGUGUAGCUCAGUUGCAGUACAAAGCUAUUAACUACACAACUUGCAAGUACCCUGAAGCCAAAUAUGUGGCUUUAUGUGCUACAUUUACAAGGGACAAGCAUGUGGUUCAGGGAAGAGAUGCAAGAGAUAAAAGGUCUGGACUAGAGUAUUAGAGAGAUUCAGCGGAUUCUUAGGUAGAAUCUAAUUCAGUGAUUAUUUAACUGAGGGUAUGAAGGAGGAAGCAGUCAAGAAUGACUGUUUUCUGGUUUGAGCUACUGAGUACAAGUGUCAGUAACAGAGGAGAUUUACAGGGGAGGAUGAUGAGGUUCCAUUUUGGAUGCUUUGAAUUUGAGAUGCCUUUGAAUCAUCUAAGCAGUGUUGUCUUUGAAGCAGCUGGACAUAGAGGGCUACAGGAGGCCUUGGACUGGAGUUAGCCUGUUGAUAAUUGAACCCUAGGAAGUAGGGAUGAUCUCACCCAGGGAAAGAAUAUCAAGUGUGAGGUAACGACCUAGAUUUGAACCUGAAGAAUGUCAACAUAUUAGAGACAUGCAGGAGAGUAAACUGAAGACAAAUGAUUAGAGCAAGAGAAGAAAACAAGAAUGUGAUGUCAUCAAAGCCAAGAGAAAAGAAUCAUCAGUAGUGUCAAAUGCUUCCUAGAGGGGCACCUGACUGGCUCAGUAAGUAGAGCAUUGGACGCUUGAGCUCGUCGGGAUCAUGAGUUCAGGACCCACAUUGGGGAUAGAAUUUACUAAAAAACAAAACAAGACAAAAAAUGCUCCCUGGAGAUCAAGGUAAGGAAUGAUCCACUGAGUUUAGUGACCUCAUUUGUAACCUUGCAAAGCAGUUCUGGUAGAGUGGAGGGGCAGAAACCAGACUACAGUGCACUGAGGAUGAUUGGGCAGUGAAAAAUGCAGAAAAUAAUUCAGCAACAUGGAUUAUUAAUCUCAAAAUCAGUAUGUUGAGCAAAAGAAGCCUACUCAAGAAUGCAUACUAUAAGGACUCCCUUUGGAUGAAAUCCCUGAGCAGGCCAAACUAAUUUAUGGUGACAGCAAGCAGAUGGUGUUUUGAACUGCUUUAUGAACAGAUCCGUUUGGAUUGUACACCUCCUAGUGAAUAGUACUCACUGAGCCAUGUAUUCAAAAUACUGAAUAAUGCUACAUGUAAAGUCACUGUGGAAGGUGCUUUGAAGACUACAAACAUGAAUGAGACAUGGUCCUUACUCUUCAGGAGCUUGCAGUCCAGGGAAAAAUAAGUGAGACAUGCCUACAAGAAACUGACAGACAAUAAAGUGGGCACAGAUAAAGAACUGCUGAUGGUUCUCAGAAACAGUAAUUUCUAUUUGAGGAUGUUAGAAGCAAAGAGACCAUUGAGGAGACUAGUUUAAUAGUUCAGCCAAAAGAUUAUCAGCGCUUGAACUAGAAGAGAGGCAAUGAAGACUGAGAGGGAGAAAAGGAUAGUAGAGCCGUUGCAGAAGCAGAAAUUAGAUACGGAGAGUGAGGAGACAAAUACAGAAUGAAGUCAAAGUUUACUUGGUCAGCCAAGUGCAUGGUGGAGCCUUUCACGCUGAUAAGACAAUUCAAGAGGAAGAGCAAUUUGACAGAUUAGAAGGCAGAAGUCAGUACGCUCAUUCCAUCUCCCUCUCUCUAGACUUCGUCCCUGUGGCCUACAGUUGAGUGGUGGCCAUAUUCCUAUGCCUAAGGGUCAAUUCUGUCAGCCUAUGGAGGUCAUAGCGCCAAAAUGGUGCUAGCCCCUAGGAGCUUUACAACUUGUUGACUGUAAUUCAGCCCACGUCUUUCUAUACCCCUUCAUUAACUCUUCUCAGUAACCCUAUUUGUUACUCCUUUCUGUCAGGACCUUAAACACGUCGUACUUGUGUAUUUUUAAAUAAAGUGUGUAUAUUGAGUGU